rnacentral:lncRNA from 1 species
AAAAAAUAAAAUCAUCCAGGCAAAGACCAAGCCCCUUCAUCUGCUUAGUCUAUCACAAUAGAAUGAAAAUAUAUGUAAGAAAAGAAAUUGUUGUAUUUACAAUAAAUAUUCACAUAUUACAAUUAUAAGAAAACAGUUUAGACAAACUUUAAACAUUAUCUUUCUUAUAAAUAAAAACAGGAGGGUUUUCCAGGACAGGCCAUUCAUUGCCAAAUAUUUCUUAACCGCUCUAUGGUGCACAGAGGCUCUUAAGGAGGUUUAUUCAAAGCAAAAUUAUUGUCAUUUAAACCCAUAGUAAAACUACAUGGGGGUGCUCCCUUAGGCAGUACAUAUACUAAAAUUGGAGUGGUACAGAGAUUAGCUCGGGGAGUUCCUGUUGUAGUUCAGCAGAAAUGAACCCCACUAGUAUCCGUGUGGAUGAUUUUAGAUCCCUGGCCUGCUCAGUGGGUUAAGGAUCCAGUGUUGCCAUGAGCUGUGGUGUAGGUUGCAGACAUGGCUCAGAUCCCACAAUGCUGUAGCUGUGGGGUAGGCCAGCAGCUGAAGCUCCAAUUCAACCCCUAGCCUGGGAACUUCCGUAUGCCUUGGGUGUAGCCCUAAAAAAGACACACACACACACACAGAUUAGUGUGGCCCCUGCAGAAGGAUGACAGGCAAAUUCAUGAAAUGUUUCAUAUUUUUCAGUAGAAAUUGACAGAACAUUGGAAAAAAAUUAUAAUUAAAAAUUUUUUUGAAACUGCAUUGGGGAGUUCCCAUUGUGGCCAGGUCAUUAAAAAACCCAACUAGUAACCUUGAGGAUGCAGAUUUGAUCCCUGGCCCCACUCAGUGAGUUAAGGAUCCAGCACUGCCCUGAGAUGUGGUGUAGUUCACAAACAUGGCUCAGAUCCCGAGUUGAUGUGGCUGUGGUGUAGCCCAGCAGCUACAGCUCGGAUUUGACCCCUAGCCUGGGAACCUCCAUAUGCGGUGGGUGCGGCCCUGGAAAGACACAAGACGAAAACGAACAAACAAAAAACCUGGCUUUCUAGCCAUUC